CGGGUAUUACGGGCGUGGCUAUCUUUGAACCUGUUCCGCUGAUUGGCUACUGGACUAACAAAACAGAGUCGACUCAUCGAAGUUUGCCAAAAGUUUAUUGCUAGUUAUGUUAGCAAAGUGGCGAAUUUAUAAGCACAUAUGGCAAUAAAUAUAACGUUUUAUUAUAAAGUUGUAGAAUAAAACUGACAUUUUAUUUACCGUCCGAGUCGAAGUAUCGAAACGGGGAGUAAAACGCAUUGUUCGAACUGGACCGCCUAACAAGGCUGCCGAGGAGAGCUGUAGGUGGCACUGACAAGGCAAGCCAAAACUCAAACAGUAGGAGAAAUGCAGCCUCGUGGACUGACGGGCAACUCUGUCUGAGGAUCUCUGGUCUGGGGCUGUGGUCAUGUCUCUAGACAGGACUAACAGUUCAAGGACAAACAACCUUACAUAAAAAGGGAAUAUUAGGAUUUUCCAACAACUCUUGUUGUGAAGGUUCAGACCACUUCUCCUAGGUCCAGCAGAUGUUUUUGACUUUUAGUUUUUCAUUAUCACAAUUUUUCGGAUUAACUGGGAU
rnacentral:lncRNA from 1 species